GUCCAAGUGGCUAGCUCAGUUGGUUAGAGUGUGGUGCUGAUAACUCCAAGGUUGCAGGUUUGAUCCCCUUAUGGGACA
rnacentral:tRNA from 1 species